UGCUUAACACAUGCAAGUCGAACGGAAUCCAUGGUGUAGCAAUACAUCGGAAGAUUUAGUGGCGAACGGGUGAGGAUCACGUGAGAAACCUGCCCCAGACUUUGGGAUAACAGUUGGAAACGACUGCUAAUACCGAAUGACGUCGGAGAACCGCAUGGUUUUCUGACGAAAGGAAAUCCGGUUUGGGAGGGUCUCGCGGCCUAUCAGCUUGUUGGUGGGGUAAUGGCCUACCAAGGCAACGACGGGUAGCUGGUCUGAGAGGAUGAUCAGCCACACUGGGACUGAGACACGGCCCAGACUCCUACGGGAGGCAGCAGUGGGGAAUCUUGUGCAAUGGGCGAAAGCCUGACACAGCAACGCCGCGUGCGGGGGAAGGCCUUCGGGCUGUAAACCG
rnacentral:rRNA from 1 species